AUUGAACGCUGGCGGCAUGCCUUACACAUGCAAGUCGAAGGCAGCGCGUCCUUCGGGAUGGCGGCGAGUGGCGAACGGGUGAGUAAUACAUCGGAACGUGCCCGAGAGUGGGGGAUAACGCAGCGAAAGCUGUGCUAAUACCGCAUACGAUCUCAGGAUGAAAGCAGGGGACCGCAAGGCCUUGCGCUCACGGAGCGGCCGAUGGCAGAUUAGGUAGUUGGUGGGAUAAAAGCUUACCAAGCCGACGAUCUGUAGCUGGUCUGAGAGGACGACCAGCCACACUGGGACUGAGACACGGCCCAGACUCCUACGGGAGGCAGCAGUGGGGAAUUUUGGACAAUGGGGGAAACCCUGAUCCAGCCAUGCCGCGUGCAGGAUGAAGGCCUUCGGGUUGUAAACUGCUUUUGUACGGAACGAAAAGGUCUUUUCUAAUAAAGAAGGCUGAUGACGGUACCGUAAGAAUAAGCACCGGCUAACUACGUG
rnacentral:rRNA from 1 species